ACCCUUAUAGCGGAGUGGUUACCGCCUAGAACGCCCUAUCGAUAGGGAGUCGGUUUAAAUCCGGCUAGGGGGA
rnacentral:tRNA from 1 species